rfam:Candidatus Colwellbacteria bacterium RIFCSPLOWO2_02_FTLL_45_11 rifcsplowo2_02_scaffold_1026, whole genome shotgun sequence.
GGAGGUAAUCCAGAUAGUAGCUUUUCUCUAGAAGUUUCCAUUAUCGGUCAUCGACUGCUCUUCACAUUCGGAAACCCAAAGGAGUAAAGAGGAAAGUCCGGACACCCCUUCGACUUCGGUCGAAGAGCAAGGUAGCGGGUAACGCCCGUCGCACGUAAGUGUAGAGGUGCGAGCAGUAACGGUCUCGACUCGCAAGAGUCGGACGAACCCAAUCCCAACGUAGAAGGUUCUGCUUGGCUAUAGGGAUAAGAAAGCCAAGAUGAAACGGCAAAAUCCUUACCCGGGUGCAAGGUCGUACUCCGACUUCGGUUGGAGAGUACCGCAUGAGCCCGAGAGUAAUCGAGGGUCUAGAUAAAUUACUAUCAGAUACAGAAUCCGGCUUACGGAUUGCCUCCAAAA